rnacentral:rRNA from 1 species
UACAGAGGUCUCAAGCGUUGUUCGGAUUCAUUGGGCGUAAAGGGCGUGUAGGUGGCGCGCUAAGUCGGGUGUGAAAUUUCGGAGCUUAACUCCGAAACUGCAUUCGAUACUGGCGUGCUUGAGGACUGGAGAGGAGACUGGAAUUCAUGGUGUAGCAGUGAAAUGCGUAGAGAUCAUGAGGAAGACCAGUGGCGAAGGCGGGUCUCUGGACAGUUCCUGACACUGAGACACGAAGGCCAGGGGAGCAAACGGG